rnacentral:sRNA from 1 species
UAUGACUAGAUGUCAUGUGUAUGAGUGAGUGUAACAACUAGAACCGCAACUGAAUAUUAAAAGCCUAACUAUUGUAUCAUUGUUAGAAGAUACAAAGACAAAAACUCAUACGAACUUCGGCUACACCAUCAAAGCUUUGAGAAACAAGAAGAAGCUUUGUUAGUGUUUUGGAGUCGAAUAUAUCUUGAUGUGAUGUGUAUUAUUGAGUAUAAGAACAUAAACCGCAACCGGAGCUUAAAAGUCUAAGUAGUGUUUCCUUGUUAGAUGAUACAAAGCCAAAGACUCAUACGUAGUUUAGCUACACCAUCAAAGCUUUGAGAAGCAAGAAGAAGAUUGGUUAGUUUUUUGGAGUCGAAUAUGACUUGAUGUCAUGUGUAUGAUUGAUUAUAAGAACUUAAACCGUAACUAGAUCUUACAAGCCUAAGUAGUGUUUCCUUGUUAGAAGAUACAAACCCAAAGACUCAUACGGACUUCAUCUACACCAUCAAAACUUUUAGAAGCAAGAAGAGGCUUUGGUAGUAUUGUGGAGUCAAAUAUGACUAGAUGUCAUUUGUAUGAGUGAGUGUAACAACUAGAACCGCAACCGGAUCUUAAAAGCCUAACUAUUGUAUCCUUGUUAGAAGAUACAAAGACAAAGACUCAUACGGACUUCGGUUACACCAUCAAAGCUUUGAGAAGCAAGAAGAAGCUUGGUUAGUGUUUUGGAGUCGAAUAUAACUUGAUGUGAUGUGUAUGAUUGAGAAUAAGAACAUAAACCGCAACCGGAGCUUAAAAGUCUAAGUAGUGUUUCCUUGUUAGAAGAUACAAAGCCAAAGACCCAUACAGAGUUUAGCUACACCAUCAAAGCUUUGAGAAGUAAGAAGAAGCUUGGUUAGUGUUUUGGAGACAAAUAUGACUAGAUGUCAUGUGUAUGAGUGAGUAUAACAACUAGAAU